GAUGAACGCUGACAGAAUGCUUAACACAUGCAAGUCGACUUGAAUUUGGGUUUUUAACUUAGGUUUGGGUGGCGGGCGGGUGAGUAACGCGUAAAGAACUUGCCUCACAGCUAGGGACAACAUUUGGAAACGAAUGCUAAUACCUAAUAUUAUGAUAAUAGGGCAUCCUAUAAUUAUGAAAGUUAUAAGCGCUGUGAGAGAGCUUUGCGUCUCAUUAGCUAGUUGGAGAGGUAACGGCUCACCAAGGCGAUGAUGGGUAGCCGGCCUGGGAGGGUGAUCGGCCACAAGGGGACUAAGACACGGCCCUUACUCCUACGGGAGGCAGCAGUGGGGAAUAUUGGACAAUGGACCGAGAGUCUGAUCCAGCAAUUCUGUGUGCACGAUGAAGUUUUUCGGAAUAUAAAGUGCUUUCAGUUGGGAAGAAACAAAUGACGGUACCAACAGAAGAAGUGACGGCUAAAUACGUG
rnacentral:rRNA from 1 species